rnacentral:lncRNA from 1 species
CUGCUAACAAAAGUAAUGACGCCCUAAAGUUGGGCAGAGAAACCAGCCCUGUCAGCACACCAGCUCCUCGCUGGGCUUCCUCUCAGGCUCUGAGGGCUAAUAACCCUCUGUGUUCAUGUGGGGCUUUGCCUCUGCGAACCAGCCGCUAAUUAGUUCCUCCACGGGCGUGCCCAGGAGGUCCAGCCCA